GGCACAAACUUGAAGUGGAGUACUUUAGUAGAGUUGGACAAUCCUACUAAACUACUUUACUUCAAAUUUGGGCCC
rnacentral:pre_miRNA from 1 species